GGGGAGGCAGCAGUGGGGAAUAUUGCACAAUCGGGGGAAACCCUGAUGCAGCCAUGCCGCGUGUGUGAAGAAGGCCUUCGGGUUGUAAAGCACUUUCAGUAGGGAGGAAGGUAGUGUAGUUAACACCUGCAUUAUUUGACGUUACCUACAGAAGAAGCACCGGCUAACUCCGUGCCAGCAGCCGCGGUAAUACGGAGGGUGCGAGCGUUAAUCGGAAUUACUGGGCGUAAAGCGCAUGCAGGCGGCCUGUUAAGUCAGAUGUGAAAGCCCGGGGCUUAACCUACGGAAUUGCAUUUGAAACUGGCAGGCUAGAGUCUUGUAGAGGGGGGUAGGAAUUUCAGGUGUAGCGGUGAAAUGCGUAGAGAUCUGAAGGAAUACCAGUGGCGAAGGCGGCCCCCUGGACAAAGACUGACGCUCAGAUGCGAAAGCGUGGGGAGCAAACAGGAUUAGAUACCCUGGUAG
rnacentral:rRNA from 1 species